AGGCGAAACCGCGAGGUCCGCUCGCGGUCGCGUCCGGGUUGGCUCCGGACGCCUGAUGAUGCCAGCCACAC
rnacentral:hammerhead_ribozyme from 1 species